UACGUAGGGUGCAAGCGUUGUCCGGAAUUAUUGGGCGUAAAGAGCUCGUAGGCGGUCUGUCGCGUCUGCUGUGAAAACUCGGGGCUUAACCCCGGGCCUGCAGUGGGUACGGGCAGACUAGAGUGCGGUAGGGGAGACUGGAAUUCCUGGUGUAGCGGUGAAAUGCGUAGAUAUCGUAAGGAAGACCAGUGGCGAAGGCGGGUCUCUGGACAGUUCCUGACGCUGAGGCACGAAGGCCAGGGGAGCAAACGGG
rnacentral:rRNA from 1 species